GCAUCCCUCCAGUCUGUCUAUCGCAUCUGCUGCAGGAAAGGCGGUCAAAGUAGCCGCUGGGAGAAGCGGCACUGGGUAAUAUUUGGAAAGCAAGGGGAGAGAAUACUAUCCGCUCCUGACGGUCAACUUCACCGCACCUGGAUCGUUCUUAUUUUUACUUAGGACAUAACUGGAAACAUAAAAGUGUCUUGUUUUUUUCUUCUUUUUAACUUGACCAAAAUGACUGGUAGCCCAGUGACAGGGCUGCUGGUUGCGCUGUGCGUAAGCAGCGCGGUCCAUUGUAUGCCAAAGAACCAAGGGAAAAACAAGAGACAAACUCAGGAACAAGUUUACCCCGAACUCGCAGACACAGUACCCCUUGCUCAAGGCUGCGAUGAGAACGGACAUUCUUACAGACUAAACGAUCAAUGGGAGAAGGCUUACCGCGGGAGUACACUGCUUUGUACCUGCAACGGAGCGGCAGGGAUCAAAUGUAAAACAAAACCCCAAGGGGAGGAGACCUGCUAUGACAAAUACAACGACCAGACGUACCCUGUGGGUGCGACCUACGAGAGGGCGAAGGACGGCAUGAUGUGGGACUGCACCUGCAUCGGUUCCGCCCGCGGCAAAAUCAGCUGCACAAUCGGAAACCGCUGCCACGAGGGAGGCAGAUCCUACAAAAUCGGGGACACUUGGAGAAGGCCCCACGAGACCGGAGACUACAUGCUGGAUUGCGUCUGUCUGGGAAACGGCAAGGGAGAGUGGACCUGCAAACCCGUGUCGGAGCGUUGCUAUGACAACACAGGUGGAGCAUCCUACGUGGUGGGGCAGACCUGGGAGAAGCCGUACCAAGGCUGGAUGAUGAUCGACUGCACCUGUCUGGGGAGGGCAACGGACGCAUCACCUGUACCUCUAGGAACCGUUGUAAUGACCAGGACACCAAGACCUCCUACCGCAUCGGAGACACAUGGACCAAGACAGAUGCUAACAGGCACCAACUCCAGUGUCUGUGUACAGGAAAUGGCAGAGGAGAGUGGAAGUGUGAGAGACACUCUGCCACUACUGGCACAGGUGUUAGUACAGGAACAGGUGUAGGAACAGGUACAGGAAGUACUCAUAUGACCAUCCAGACGGAGCUCCACCAGCCCUCCACCCUCCCCGAACCCCCCCAGGAGGGGGCUUGCCGCACGGACUCGGGCGCCACCUUCCACGUGGGCAUGCGCUGGAUCAGGACCCAGGGCAGCAAGCAGAUGCUGUGUACCUGCCAGGGUACUGGCGCCGUCAGCUGUGAGGAGAAGGAGGGCCAGAGCCAGGUGUACGGUGGGAACUCAGAAGGCCAGGCCUGUGUGUUCCCCUUUGUGUUCAUGGAUAAGACCUACUACUCCUGUACCUCAGAGGGACGUACUGAUGGACAGCUGUGGUGCAGCACCACCUCUGACUACCAUAGAGACCAGCAGUACUCCUACUGUACCGAGAAGAACUCCCUGGUGUCGACCCGAGGGGGUAACUCCAAUGGUGCGCUGUGCCAGUUCCCCUUCCUCUACAACGGGCGUAACUACACUGACUGUACCGCCGAUGGGCGCCGCGACGGCAUGAGGUGGUGCGGUACCACAACCAACUACGAAGGGGAGCAGCGCUACGGAUUCUGCCCCAUGGCUGCCCACGAGGAGGCCUGCACCACCAACGACGGGGUCAUGUACCGUGUGGGAGACCAGUGGGACAAACGCCACGAUGUCCUGGGUCACAUGAUGCAGUGUACCUGCUUGGGCAACAACCGCGGAGAGUGGAGCUGCAUCGCCUACUCCCAACUCAAAGACCAGUGCAUUGUGGAUGGGCUGACCUAUGAGGUGAGCCAGACCUUCACCAAGCGCCAUGACCAGGGCUACAUGAUGAAUUGCACCUGCUAUGGACAGGGACGCGGGCGCUGGAAGUGCGACGCCAUCGACCAGUGCCAGGAGCCUGAGAGCAGGGCGUUCUAUCAGAUUGGAGAGACCUGGGACAAAACCAUCCACCAAGUCCUCUACCGCUGCUAUUGCUACGGCAACGGUAUUGGUGAGAUGAGCUGCGAGCCACAGCAGACCUUCCCAGGUGGCCACCGCCCAGUCCAGGUGAUUAUCACAGAGGCAGGGAAGCAGCCUGACUCCCACCCCAUCCAGUGGAAUGCCCCAGCCUCCUCACACAUCACCCAGUAUAUCCUCAAGUGGAGAGUGAAAAACACCCGUGCCCCCUGGAGAGAGGCCACCAUCCCAGGUAACCUGAACUCGUACACCAUCGCUGGGCUGCGGCCAGGUAUUACCUAUGAGGGUCAGCUGAUCAGCAUCCUGCGCUAUGGACGCCGCGAGGUCACCCGCUUUGACUUCACCACCACCUACGGCUCCCUUGGGGUGACCUCUGAGGGUGAGACGACCCAGCCUCCUCCCGUGGUGGACACGUCUGAGUCGGUGACAGAGAUCACGUCCAGUAGCUUCAUCAUCUCCUGGGUGUCAGCCUCCGACACCGUGUCAGGCUUCAGAGUGGAGUAUGAGCUGAGUGAGGACGGAGCCAAACCUCAGGUCCUGGACCUGCCCCGUACCACCACCUCUGUGAGCAUCAGUGACCUCCUGCCUGGCCGUAGAUACAACGUCAACGUGUAUGAGGUUUCCCCUCAGGGAGAACCCACCCUCAUCCUCACCACCUCUCAGACCACAGCUCCUGAUGCCCCUGCUGAACAUCAGAUCAACCAGGUGGGAGAAACCUCUAUCUCCAUCAGCUGGUCCAAGCCCCAGGCCCCCAUCACAGGCUACCGUUUGGUCUUCACCCCGUCAGUAGAGGGCAGCAGCACCGAGCUCAUCCUCCCAGACACUGAGACCUCCGUGACCCUGGUUGACCUUCGACCUGGCCUGCUCUACAACAUCAGCAUUUACGCUGUGGAGGAGAACCAGGAGAGCGAGCCCAUCUUCGUCCAGGUCAACACGGCCGGAGAGCCAGCACCAGAGGAAGUCCGCUCCCCAACCGACCUUCAGUUCUACGAGGUGUCUGACGUGAAAAUCAUCAUCACCUGGACCGGCCCUCCCAGCGAGGUGUCGGGUUACCGCGUGACCUUCGCCCCCGUUACCCCCGGUGACACGCCCCAGAGGCCCCUGCAGCUACCCAUGACGGCCAACGCGUGCAGAGAUCACCCACCUGCAGCCCGGAACCCUGUACCGCUUCAACAUCUACGCCAUCAACGGAGGAGUGGAGAGCGAGCCGCUGACGGGAGAGAGAGCCACCAAGCCCGACGCCCCCACCAACCUGCGUUUCACUGACAUCGGCGAGGACGGUGCGAUAGUGAUCUGGGAGGCUCCCAGGGCUAGCAUCAGCGGCUACCGUCUGUUCCUGAGUGUGGAGGGCUCCAGCCCAACCCAGAAGAGAAUCCCCGGCGGUCAGACCCAGUUCCUCUGCGAGGCCUCCGCCCCGACACAGACUACACCGUCAAACUGCACUCUGAGCAGGACAACGUGUUGAGUGAGGAAGUCAAUGGCAUCUUCACCACCUCCCCAAAGAUGGGUAAUGCCCCUCGCUUCACCACUGAUGUGACCGACACCUCCAUCAUCAUCUCCUGGACCCCUGUCAGCAGGUUCAGCUUCAGGCUGUCUGUGAGGCCCAGUCAGGGAGGAGAGUCACCCAGGGAUGUGACCUCUGACUCAGGAAGUAUCUUUGUGUCAGGCCUGACCCCUGGGACUGAGUACACUUACAGUGUACAGCCCAUUAUCAACGGACGUGACCGCGGCAACCCCAUCACUAAAAACGUUGUCACUCACUUAAGUGAUGUUUCUUCCCUCCAGAACUGUCUCCCCACUGACCUCAGUACGCAGUCCAACGCGGACACGGGUGAGCUGACUGUCCUGUGGGGCGGCGCCAACACGCCAGACAUCACAGGCUACAGAGUGACAUGCACCCCAACCAAUGGGCAGCGAGGAAACUCCCUGGAGGAGUUAGUCCAGCCGGUCCAGAACCAGUUAAUCCUGGAGAACCUGAGUCCAGGAGUGGAGUACAACGUCUCUGUCUACACUGUCAAAGACAACCUGGAGAGUGUCCCUGUGUCCACCACUGUCACCCAAGACGUGCCCAAGCUAAACGACCUGGACUUUGUCGACGUCACCGACACCACUGUGGGCCUGCGCUGGACCGCCCUGGUAAACGUUAGCGCCAUCACCAGUUACCGGGUAACGGUUAUGGCGUCGGGCGAGAGUUUGCCCAUCAUCAUGGACACGGUGGACUCGUCGACGGGCCAUUAUACGGUGCGCGGGCUGGAGCCCGGUGUGGAUUAUGACAUCAGUGUCACUACGAUAACGGAGGAAGGGGAGAGCGAGCCGGCCACACGCAGAACGCAAACCCAGACUGCCGUCCCCGCCCCCACCAACCUGAACUUCGGAGGGGUGGGCCCCGAUCACAUGAGGGUCAGCUGGACCGUCCCCAACGUCCCCACGCCCAGUGACAUCACACGUUUCGUCAUCCGCUUCCACCCCAGCAGCAACGACGACGAUGUCAAGGAGCUCAACGUGGGCGGAGCCACCAACACCUUCCUGCUGCAGAACCUGCUGCCCAACACAGAGUACAGGGUGAGCGUGGUGUGUGUUUACGAGGAGAGAGAAAGCGCACCAGUCACUGGCACUCAGAGAACAACCCUGGACUCUCCCACUGGCCUGGACUUUGCUGACGUCCUGACCAACUCCUUCACCAUCCACUGGCUGGCCCCCAGCGCCGUGAUCACUGGCUACCGUAUCCAUUACCAGAUGACCAGCGGAGGCAGGGCCAAGGACGAGAGACUGCCCCCGACCAGGAGCCACUUCACCCUGACUGGCCUGGCUCCCGAGACAGAGUACAGUAUUGAGGUCUACGCUGUCAGCGGGAACCAGGAGAGUCUGCCUCUCACUGGCACUCAGGCUACUAUCUCUGACGCCCCCACCGACCUGGAAGUGACCUCAACCAGCCCCACCAGCAUCACCAUCCGCUGGGACGCCCCCUCUGUCACCGUGAGGUACUACAGGAUCACCCACGGAGAGACAGGUGGAGAAAGCCCUGCUAAGGAGUUCACUGUCCCCGGCUCCCAGUCCGAGGCCACCAUCUCUAACCUGAACCCAGGGACAGACUACACCAUCACCGUCUACGCUGUGACAGGGAGAGGGGACAGCCCGGCCUCCAGCACACCCAUCUACGUCAGUCACAAGACUGACGUGGAGGGCCCCACCAACAUGGACGUGACUGAUGUGAAGGACAACACCAUCACAGUGCGCUGGUCCGCGGCCCAGGGCCCCAUCAAGGGCUACAGGGUCACCAGCGUCCCCAAGAAUGGACAGGGCCCCUCUUUCUCUGAGGUGGUGGCCCCUGAUCAGACUGAGAUUACGUUUACUGGCUUGAUGCCCACGGUGGAGUACGUUCUGAGUGUGACCGCUCUGGGAACCGAUGGAGAACCUUCCACACCUCUGGUAGAGAACGCCAUCACAGCAAUGGACCGUCCCAAGGCCCUGUCCUUCUCUGAGGUGGACUCCACCUCCCUGAGGUUCACAUGGGACAGUCCGGAUGGCACAGUGACAUCAUACCGCGUGCUGUACUCCAGCCCUGAGGAGGGCGAGAGAGAGCUGCGCCCGGCGCCCAGAGGGACAGACGAUACCGUGGUACUGAGGAAUCUCCGCCCCGGCACAGAGUACACUGUUAAGGUCAUCGCUCUGCACGGACGCACCCCCAGCACCCCACUGGUGGGCACACAGGCCACAGCUAUCCCUGCUCCCACCAAUCUGGACAUCUCUGAGGUUGGUGACACCUCCUUCAUUGUCUCGUGGCGCUCCCCUAGCUCCGGGCUGUCUGGGUACCGUGUGGUUGUCAACCCCAAGAACAACAAUGGACCCACCAAGGAGAUGACCAUCGCCCCAGACACCACGCGCGCCGUGGUCCCAGGACUCAUGGUGGCCACUCUGUACACAGUGCACGUUUACGCCCUGAAGAACUCUGUGACCAGCCGACCCCUGGAGGGAGAGGUCACCACGCUGGACAACAUCAGUCCUCCUCGGCGUGUGCGUAUCUCUGACGUGAAGGACUCGGCCAUCACGCUGACCUGGCGUGCUAAGGUUGAGACCAUCACCGGGUACCUUAUCGAAGCUCAGCCCCUCGGCGGCAGCCGCCCCGCCAUCAAGAAGACAAUCCCCGGAGAGCAGCGCACCUACACCAUCACUGGUCUGGAGCCAGGCACCUCCUACACUAUCCACAUCUACACCAUCAACGGCGAUGCACGCAGCGCCCCCUUCACCCUCACGGCCACCACAGCCAAACCAGCGGUGCAUUCCCCCACCAACCUCCAGUUCACCUCCCUGACCCCCAACUCCAUCUCCUUCAGCUGGGAACCCCGCCACGCGCAUCACAGGAUAUUACAUCACCUACGAGGAGGCAGGCAGGGCGCAGCCCCGUGAGCUUACCCCCGCCCCCACGCUGGCCAGAACUACGCCACCAUCUCUGGUUUGAGACCAGGUACCGAGUACAUCAUCAAGAUCAUCGCUCUUCAGAAUGUCCAGAGAAGCACCCCAUUGGUGGGCACGGCCAGGACUCAACGUGAAUCCCUGCUUACACUGCCACUCCCCAACCGCCCCGGAGGCUACGACCACCUGGACGUGCCUGAAGAAAAGGAGAGCCGUGUCCCAACAGUAGUAGGUAACAACGGCCUAGACACCCUGGGGGGCCAGGGCCAGAACGUGGAGUACACUGAGUACAACAACCAGAACCCCCAGUCACCCUAUGGGAACGGCCAGACACCCUAUGGGAACGGCCAGUCACCCCUGGUGUUUGUGCCCCUUCCGGACGCGGAGGGGCGCAGGGUGCCGGUGGUGAGCGUGAACGUGCCUGGUGGCUCUCCCUUUGGUUUUCCAGAGAAGGACACAGGAAUCCCUCAGGAGGCCCAGACCCAGACCACCAUCGCCUGGAAGCCUUACAAGCAGAGUUCAGAGUACCUGGUGUCCUGCAACCCUCUGACACACGUCAACGAGAAGAUGUUCCAGAUGCGUCUGCCUGGUACCUCCACCAGUGCCACUCUGAUCGGCCUGACCAGCGGAGCCUCCUACAACGUUAUCGUAGAGGCCCUGAAGGGGGCACUCAAACACAAGAUCCUGGAGGAGAUUGUCACCGCCGGCAACACCCUGACAGAGGGUUCCACCGGCACAGAUAAGGACUCGUGCUACGACACCUUCACAGCGACCUACCAUGACGUUGGGACCGAGUGGGAGCGCAUGUCUGAGACGGGCUUCAAGCUGUGGUGCAGGUGUCUGGGACUAGGCAGUGGACACUUCCGAUGUGACUCCUCUAAGUGGUGUCAUGAUGGAGGUAACAACUACCGUAUCGGGGAGAAAUGGGAGCGUCAGGAGGAGAAGGGCCCCAUGAUGAGCUGCACCUGCCUGGGCAACGGGAAGGGAGAGUUCAAGUGUGAACCACAUGAGUCCACCUGCUAUGACGAUGGGAAGAUGUACCAGAUUGGUAACCAGUGGCAGAAAGAAUACCUGGGAGCCAUCUGUACCUGCACCUGCUACGGAGGACAACAGGGCUGGCGUUGUGAGAACUGUCGUAGACCAGGUGCUGAGGUGGACUCUAGUCUGCUGCAGCCCGUCCGAUACAGGGACCCCACCAACACACUACGCAAAGUGAACAUCCAGUGCCCCAUCGAAUGCCUUCGACCUGAACUACUGGCAGACGCACUGGCAGAAGGACACAUCCCCCAGAAUCCCCUGGAGUAAAAGAUCAAUCUCCUCUUCCUUACCCAUGGUCUGUCAAGUCUCCUUGAAGAGGAGGUCCCCCUGUCCAGUCAGAGACAGACCUGAACUAACACAUUGGUGCCUUACUGAUCAGCUUAACCAUAUCUAACACACCUACAUACUGUAGGUCCAUGCCUUCCUAGUCUUAAGAGAACCCCCUGCACACUGUCAGAAUGUUGGUUAAGUUGUCUGUUGUCAUUUCCCUUAACCAUAUCUAACACACCUACAUACUGUAGGUCCAUGCCUUCCUAGUCUUUAGAGAACCCCCUGCACACUGUCAGAAUGUUGGUUAAGUUGUCUGUUGUCAUUUCCCUUUGAGACACUUAAGAGGUCAAAAGGAACAUUCCUUGUGUUCGUGCCUUAAAGAGAUUAAAAUCUUCCCCUGUCCCUGAAGGUAUGUGUUUGAAGUGCUUGUUAACAGUUCAGAUGUGCUUGUCUUUUACAAAUGAUACAUUUCCAAGACUACCUGUCCAGUAUUACCGUUUGUCCUAAUCAUUUAUUAUUCUUUUGUUUUACUUCUAUAAAAUCUAAAACCGUCUGAAAUCAAAAGCACUGUUUUGAGAGAAUGUUGGUGUAGUUGCCAUGUCGACAAGUGUUUGAAAUCAUUUAGCUUUUUCUGUAGCCUCUGUGUAGACAGGGGUAGCACUGCCUGUGUGAUGGACACUGAGUUGUUGUAAUUUUGAAACUCUUUAAUGCAUUUUAUUUAUCCCUUUAAUCACAGCAUUGUUGUGUGAAUGUGAGACCUGGGGUGUCGACUUUGUUCUGGUUUUAUUUUUGUACUAAAAGGUGCCAAAGUUUGAUGGAGAUUCCCUUGUUUUGAUAAAGUUGAAAAGAACAUCAUGAA